rnacentral:rRNA from 1 species
GGCUCAGAUUGAACGCUGGCGGCAUGCCUUACACAUGCAAGUCGAACGGCAGCACGGGUGCUUGCACCUGGUGGCGAGUGGCGAACGGGUGAGUAAUAUAUCGGAACGUACCUUAUUGUGGGGGAUAACGCAGCGAAAGCUGUGCUAAUACCGCAUAAUCCCUUAGGGGGAAAGCGGGGGACCGUAAGGCCUCGCGCAAUUAGAGCGGCCGAUACCUGAUUAGCUAGUUGGUGAGGUAAAGGCUCACCAAGGCAACGAUCAGUAGCUGGUCUGAGAGGACGAUCAGCCACACUGGGACUGAGACACGGCCCAGACUCCUACGGGAGGCAGCAGUAAGGAAUAUUGGACAAUGGUCGGAAGACUGAUCCAGCCAUGCCGCGUGAAGGAUGAAGGCGCUCAGCGUUGUAAACUUCUUUUGUACGGGAACAAAAUGCGACCUGCGGGUUGUACUGAGGGUACCGUAAGAAUAAGCACCGGCUAACUCCGUG